rnacentral:rRNA from 1 species
CAGCAGCCGCGGUAAUACGUAGGGUGCGAGCGUUAAUCGGAAUUACUGGGCGUAAAGCGUGCGCAGGCGGUUUGUUAAGACCGAUGUGAAAUCCCCGGGCUCAACCUGGGAACUGCAUUGGUGACUGGCAAGCUAGAGUAUGGCAGAGGGGGGUAGAAUUCCACGUGUAGCAGUGAAAUGCGUAGAGAUGUGGAGGAAUACCGAUGGCGAAGGCAGCCCCCUGGGCCAAUACUGACGCUCAUGCACGAAAGCGUGGGGAGCAAACAGGAUUAGAUACCCCUGUAGUCCCUGUCUCUUAUAC